rnacentral:rRNA from 1 species
UACAGAGGGUGCAAGCGUUAAUCGGAAUUACUGGGCGUAAAGCGCGCGUAGGUGGCUAAGUAAGAUGGGUGUGAAAUCCCCGGGCUUAACCUGGGAACUGCAUCCAUAACUGCUUGGCUAGAGUACGGUAGAGGGUAGUGGAAUUUCCUGUGUAGCGGUGAAAUGCGUAGAUAUAGGAAGGAACACCAGUGGCGAAGGCGACUACCUGGACUGAUACUGACACUGAGGUGCGAAAGCGUGGGGAG